GACGAACGCAGGCGGCGUGCGUAAUACAUGCAAGUAGAACGCUGAAGGAGGAGCUUGCUCUUCUGGAUGAGUUGCGAACGGGUGAGUAACGCGUAGGUAACCUGCCUGGUAGCGGGGGAUAACUAUUGGAAACGAUAGCUAAUACCGCAUAAUAUUGAUUAUUGCAUGAUAGUCAAUUAAAAGGUGCAAUUGCAUCACUACCAGAUGGACCUGCGUUGUAUUAGCUAGUUGGUGAGGUAACGGCUCACCAAGGCAACGAUACAUAGCCGACCUGAGAGGGUGAUCGGCCACACUGGGACUGAGACACGGCCCAGACUCCUACGGGAGGCAGCAGUAGGGAAUCUUCGGCAAUGGACGGAAGUCUGACCGAGCAACGCCGCGUGAGUGAAGAAGGUUUUCGGAUCGUAAAGCUCUGUUGUAAGAGAAGAACGAGUGUGAGAGUGGAAAGUUCACACUGUGACGGUAUCUUACCAGAAAGGGACGGCUAACUACGUGCCAGCAGCCGCGGUAAUACGUAGGUCCCGAGCGUUGUCCGGAUUUAUUGGGCGUAAAGCGAGCGCAGGCGGUUAGAUAAGUCUGAAGUUAAAGGCUGUGGCUUAACCAUAGUACGCUUUGGAAACUGUUUAACUUGAGUGCAAGAGGGGAGAGUGGAAUUCCAUGUGUAGCGGUGAAAUGCGUAGAUAUAUGGAGGAACACCGGUGGCGAAAGCGGCUCUCUGGCUUGUAACUGACGCUGAGGCUCGAAAGCGUGGGGAGCAAACAGG
rnacentral:rRNA from 1 species